UACGUAGGUGGCAAGCGUUGUCCGGAUUUAUUGGGUUUAAAGGGUGCGUAGGCGGUCUAUUAAGUCAGUGCUGAAAUAUCCCAGCUUAACUGGGAGGGUGGCAUUGAUACUGCGGGGCUAGAGUACAGAUGAGGUAGGCGGAAUUGACGGUGUAGCGGUGAAAUGCUUAGAUAUCGUCAAGAACACCUAUAGCGAAGGCAGCUUACUAGGCUGUAACUGACGCUGAGGCACGAAAGUGUGGGGAUCAAACAGG
rnacentral:rRNA from 1 species